AGCUCCAAUAGCGUAUAUUAAAGUUGUUGCAGUUAAAACGCUCGUAGUCGGAUUUCGGGGCGGGCGGGCCGGUCUGCCGAUGGGUAUGCACUGGUUUGCGCGUCCUUCCUUCCGGAGACCAUGCCUACUCUUCACUGAGCGGGUAUGGGAGACGGAAUUUUUACUUUGAAAAAAUCAGAGUGUUUCAAGCAGGCAUUUCGCUUUUGCAUGGAUUAGCAUGGGAUAAUAAAAUAGGACUUUGGUGCUAUUUUGUUGGUUUCGAACACCGAAGUAAUGAUUAACAGGGACAGUCAGGGGCACUCGUAUUCCGCCGAGAGAGGUGAAAUUCUUAGACCAGCGGAAGACGAACAACUGCGAAAGCAUUUGCCAGGGAUGUUUUCACUGAUCAAGAACGAAAGUA
rnacentral:rRNA from 1 species